rnacentral:lncRNA from 1 species
UUCCAUCUUGCUGUUCAUAAAUACCAUUCAUAGAAUUGUGCGCAACAUCAACUCCUGCAAGAUUUAAUUCUUGAUAUGAUAUGUUGACAAAGUCCUGCGCGUGCUCUGGUGCUUUUGCAACAAUCCCACUCUGCUGUCCAUGGACACCAUUCAUAUAAGCAUUUGCAGCAUCAACUUGCUGAGAUGAGAAAUCAACUUGCAUCAUUCCUUCUCCUCCUUGUGCUUUUGCAAGCCUAGGUGUAGAUUCAACACUUCCAUUCAUAGAACCAUUUGCAGCAUCAACUUGUUGAGAUGAGAAAUCAAGUUGCAUCAUUCCUUCUCCUCCUUGUACUUUUCCAAGCCUAGGUGUAGAUUCAAUACCAGUAGUACUGCAGAUUUCAAAAGAAUCAAAUUCAUCCUCUGGAGUGACUUUUAUAACCUCAACAGUCAAUUUUUGCCCCAAUUCUUGUCCUAAAGCAAUCUUAAAAGAACUCCUGAGGUAUUUUUUCAAUUUCUCCAUUAUGCUGUUCAGCAUUAUCCUACAAUCCCCAUAGUCUUUUUCAUUUGUAGGUAAAAAGAACUCCAGUAC